AGGAUGAACGUUGGCGGUGUGCCUAAUACAUGCAAGUCGAACGGAGUUAGUAGCAAUACUGGCUCAGUGGCGAACGGGUGAGUAACGCGUUGGUGAUCUGCCUUGAAGUGUGGAAUAACGUUUCGAAAGGAACGCUAAUACCGCAUGUGCUCUCGAUUUUCAGAAAGUUGAGAGUAAAGGAUUUAUUCGCUUCAAGAGGAGCCUGCGUCCCAUCAGCUGGUUGGUAGGGUAACGGCCCUACCAAGGCUAUGACGGGUAGGGGACCUGAGAGGGUGGCCCCCCNCAAUGGGAACUGAAACACGGNUCCAUACACCUACGGG
rnacentral:rRNA from 1 species